rnacentral:lncRNA from 1 species
GGCUGGACCAUGGACUGUUUCCAGGAGUGGGGGUCCUUCAUCCAGCUGGCCAUCCCCAGCAUGUUCAUGGUGUGCAUUGAGUGGUGGACCUUUGAGGUUGGAACCUUCCUUGCAGGACUGAUAAGCGUGACAGAGCUUGGCGCCCAGGCCGUGGUUUAUGAACUGGUUACUGCAGCCUACACGGUGCCCCUUGGCUUUGGCGUGGCAGCCAGCGUCCGGGUGGGCAACGCGCUCGGGGCAGGGAAUCCUGAGCAGGCGAGGCACUCUGGUGUCACCGUCCUGCUGUGUGCAGGUGAGUGUGGCGUUUCUGCCCGCUGGCUUCCGUCCUGAGUAUCAUGCAGCUGUAAGUGUGUCUAGAUGA